AAAAAAAAAUAUGCAGCUCAAAAGUCAAAAUGUGGAUAAGCUGAGGUUCAAGGUCCUACUUUUGCGGAUUUUCAUAUUUUGCAUGAAUGAAUUUAAAGUUUAUACCAUGGACCGCAGAGAAAGAAAAAAAAACUUUUCAUAUUUUCCGGCUUCUGAAGGAUAAAUGUAAAACAUCUUGUUUUUGGUAAGUUUUAUGCUCUGUUUUAAUAGUGUUUGUGCAUUCAUCUGUCCAGUCCUUCCUCUAAAUUGUAUCCUCUUUAAUUUUUUGGUGAGUGUUUGCCAUGAAUUUCAGUAAGUAGCCUGUGGAUUUACAUAUAUCAGUGGUGGAUCCAGAAAUUUUCAUAAAUGGGGCCCACUGACUGACCUAAGAGGGGCCCGCUCCAGUCACGCUUCAGUGAUUCCCUAUAUAAGCAACCAAAUUUUUUCCCAAAAGGGGGGGCCGGGGUCCCCUGCCCCCCCCCCUAAAUCCGCCUUUGUAUAUAUACUCAAAAUUUAGUACGAAUAUUAAGGGAUUUUAGCAUGACAUCCUGUUGAAUGCUUGUUAAUCAUGUUUAUGUUCCAGAACAUAUGAGUAUUUAGACUACGCGUACAGUCUGCCCAAUUUUAAGAAGUUGGUCAAGUUUAUUAGAAACAAAUAUACAUUACAGAUCAACAUAACUGAAAUCUUUAAUAGAUUAAUACAAAAAGUUAAAUUGCAGUAGAAAUAAAAAUACAUGUUUGGUUGAGCUCUGGUAUUAGACAGUACAAGUACCGGGUAUACUCAAAUGGUCUGAUUGUAUGAAUAUGGUCGGACUGUAAGAGUAUACUUAUAUGUUUCGGACCGUAAACGUAUGGUCCAAAUACUUAUAUGGUCUGGAACAUUUAUACAUGUCUUAAAAUUAGUAUCUGACAAACACAUUGGUGUUUGUGAACUUGGUAAUAAGUUAUUCGAUAGAAAUAUAAUGUUUUCAGAUUAUAAAAAUAAAAAAUAUCCCAUAUUUACUUUUAACAAAGAAGAAGAUUAUUGAUGUAUGUAUAACUGUAAAAUGAGACAGCAAGCCAACAACACAAAAAAUAAGGAUAAAACAAUAUAUAUAUUUUUUUGUAUCAAUGUUAUAAUUUCCAAUAUGUCCGAAGAUUUCAAGGUAUUUUUACAUUGAAAUAAAACACAAAUUGAACUCUGUCAGAUCUUCAAAAGCUUAAAGAUAUAUUGUUUCUGUUGUCUGCAUUUUGUAUAAUAUAUUGAAAAUUCUAGUGAAUAAUGAAAUAUGUUAUUAUAAUUGCCUAAAGUUUUAACAUUGAUCUUUAUAUAUAUGAUAUAUAUAACUUGGGAAAAUACCCAAAUGUUAUAAAGAAGAAUAAAUUAAUUGAUUGUUAUAUACCGGUAGUAUUAAAAUAGGAAGAUGUGGUAUAUUGCUAAUUUGACAACUCUCCAUCAGAGACCAAAGGAUGUAAGAGGUUAGCAACUGAUGACACUGGACAACCUUUAACAAUCAGUGAAAUCCAUGCAGCAUAGCUAUUUUUGAUUAAAAAUCAUAUUAUUGCUACAUGUAUGCAAAACAAUUUAUAUAAUACUUCAGAUUUUAUUGGUUCUUUUUCAGAAGGAUUGAAAUUCAUCACCUAGAAUAAAUGGAGGAAACAUAGAAACAAGAC
rnacentral:lncRNA from 1 species